UUCGACAAGAUGUCGAUAAAAAGCUAAUGC
rnacentral:sRNA from 1 species